rnacentral:rRNA from 1 species
AGAUUGAACGCUGGCGGCAUGCCUAACACAUGCAAGUCGAGCGGCAGCGCGGGGGCGACCCUGGCGGCGAGCGGCGGACGGGUGAGUAAGGCAUCGGAAUCUGCCCUGAUGUGGGGGAUAACGUAGGGAAACUUACGCUAAUACCGCAUACGACCGAGAGGUGAAAGCGGGGGAUCGUAAGACCUCGCGCUGGUGGAUGAGCCUACGUCCGAUUAGUUAGUUGGUGGGGUAAAGGCCUACCAAGGCUACGAUCGGUAGCUGGUCUGAGAGGACGACCAGCCACACUGGGACUGAGACACGGCCCAGACUCCUACGGGAGGCAGC